UUAUUGAGUUGUGUUUGGUGACUGAGAGUUGUUGCUUGCAUACUGGUUCAUAAUGAUUGUCUUUUAGGAUGAUAGUAGUAAUAUCUAAACCUGAUUGCUUUCAUGAAAUGAAACCAAGUUUAAAUGUGAAGCGUUGAGUGUUGUUGCUGCCUUGUAUUGAUGCAUUGGAUUCAUGUCUAAGUUGCAGAUUAAGGAGCAUUAAAAUUGCCUAAGUAGCUUGUCUUGAAUCUUGAAGGGAUCUUGCUUGUGCUUAGAGAGUCUGCUUGC
rnacentral:lncRNA from 1 species